rnacentral:rRNA from 1 species
AGNGGUUUNANNNCNCCNCUGCUCAGGACGAACGCUGGCUGCUUGCUUGAAGCAUAUGCAGGGUCUGUUUUNNUNCGNCNCUGAAGCUGGUGCUUGCACCGGGUGGAUGAGUGGCGAACGGGUGAGUAACACGUGAGUAACUUGCCCCUGACUUCGGGAUAAGCCCGGGAAACUGGGUCUAAUACCGGAUACGACUGCCGGACGCAUGUCUGGUGGUGGAAAGUUUUUUCGGUUGGGGAUGGGCUCGCGGCCUAUCAGUUUGUUGGUGAGGUAAUGGCUCACCAAGACGACGACGGGUAGCCGGCCUGAGAGGGCGACCGGCCACACUGGGACUGAGACACGGCCCAGACUCCUACGGGAGGCAGCAGUGGGGAAUAUUGCACAAUGGGGGAAACCCUGAUGCAGCGACGCAGCGUGCGGGAUGACGGCCUUCGGGUUGUAAACCGCUUUCAGCAGGGAAGAAGCGCAAGUGACGGUACCUGCAGAAGAAGUACCGGCUAACUACGUGCCAGCAGCCGCGGUAAUACGUAGGGUACGAGCGUUGUCCGGAAUUAUUGGGCGUAAAGAGCUCGUAGGUGGUUGGUCACGUCUGCUGUGGAAACGCAACGCUUAACGUUGCGCGUGCAGUGGGUACGGGCUGACUAGAGUGCAGUAGGGGAGUCUGGAAUUCCUGGUGUAGCGGUGAAAUGCGCAGAUAUCAGGAGGAACACCGGUGGCGAAGGCGGGACUCUGGGCUGUAACUGACACUGAGGAGCGAAAGCAUGGGGAGCGAACAGGAUUAGAUACCCUGGUAGUCCAUGCCGUAAACGUUGGGCACUAGGUGUGGGGGGCAUUCCAUGUUUUCCGCGCGCGUAGCNNUAACGCAUUAAGGUGCCCCGCCUGGGNUGGAGUUGCUGGUCGCAAGGCUAAACCAUAANNNNNNANNUAUUNNNNNNGGGCUAG